UCAAUAACAAAUCAAUACAUUCAUACGUGUUGAAGAAACAGGUUUGCUGAAGUUGUGCUGUUGUACUGACUACUUUAACUGUGUGGCAGCUCUUUAUUUACUGCAGCAAAGGAUUGUGGGUAUUUCUACCACUCUUUAUUCUAAACAAACAGAUAUGGGCCUGAAUAAGUUUGACCUUUUUUUAUUCUUGUGGACAUCAGGUUUAAAAAUCAGCUGAACUACCCAGGGAUUGAACCCACAACCUCCAGACUUCACAGCAUCACUUCACCAUCCUGAGCUGAUGAAUCAGUCUUAAAUGAGUCACUUUCUUUGAGCAUUUCACUUCUUUUGACCACAAAAUAAUUGUGUGAAAACCUCAAGGAUUUGAACUCACAACUUUAAACAGUGGACGCGACGUCAUCAGAUACUCGUCCUUCCUUUCUUACUGGUUCUGACUCCAGCCAGAGUUUUGAUUGGUCCAGCGGGCUGACUCGACUGCAGUCCUCCAUCCCCUCCCCCGGACAGCUGCAGAACAGGGUCCAGAGUGUCGGAAACUUCACCACCUCGUCACGCCAAAGGUUAAAGGCCACCACCUACGUCAGCCCCACAAUCAAGGGCUCGGCCUCCAUGCCGACCUCCACCAGCCUCCAGUUUCUGAGCAGCGGCGGCACUGCUGGGGGUAACAACGGGUUGGGCAGCGGGAUCCCAAUGCUCAGUAAACCACCUGGAGGUGGAGGGACGCCCACGUCAACCCCGGCCACGCCCCGCAGCGGCCUGCCCCGCCCCGCCUCCUUUGUUGGCACACCAAUCUCCACCCCUCGCAGCAAGGCGGCCCAACCAAUACGAAGUUUACCAACUCCUCCAAAGAGAUGGUCCACCCUCAGUGCUCUUUGUGAUAGCACCUGGAGAGACGGCUGCUCCUGACGAGACCCGGGUGACUCACUACACCUCAACGUGGAACAAAAAGUUCUUUGACCAAAAAGUAAACUGUUAACUUCACCUUAAAUCUGAGAUCCUGCAUAGAAUAGCUCAAACAGUUGAGGUGGUCUUCACAUGUCGUCAAUCCGAUUCUAUGCAGAGUUUCUUCGGGGGAAGGUGUGUCGUUUAGUUUAUUCUUUCUGGAUUUGUGUGAGUUUGGUCCGUGCCAACGGGGAGUCGCUCCCUGUUGCUCUUGUGCAAUAAAACCACUGUCUUUAGGCUACCAGUAAUAAUAACCUGCUGAAGAGGGCUGCCAGUUUGUAUGAUACGCGCCUUCACAAUACUGUAUUUAUCUAUCUUAUAUAUUUAUUAUUUUGAAUAAAAUGUUUUUUGACUAAUCAGGUGUUUUUUCCCUUCUGGCAACAAGCGUUAACGAUGCUGCUAAAAAAAACAUGUAAUCAGUCCCUGUUCGAUUUUUGGGCACAUUUGGUGUAAUUUUUACAAGACGUUAAAGUAUUCGUGUACAAAUCUUAACUAUUAAGUGUGCAUACAUUGUAAAUAUGUAUUGAUGCAAUAUUAUUGAAUUUUAAAUGUGAAUCUUGACCAAAAGGAAAAUGUUUGAAUGUGUUUACAAAAUUGUCUCACCACAGACUUUUCUGCAUAUGAACACUUUAAAAUUGACCUAGGGGGAUCUGUUCUUGUUGCACAAUGUAUAAACUUAGUGAUAUUUUCACGUUCUGUUUACUGACGUUUGCACUGCUUUUACUUUGUAUCUUCUGGAUUUAAGGUGGAAAAAAACUGUUAAGUGUUUUUUCAGGGGGGAUAUUUCACAGUUGCACAUGGCAUAAUGUAGCACCCUCUGUUUGUAAUAUUUGUGUUUUUUCACAUUUCACAAAAUCCCAACACUUUUGUUACUGUGAUCGACUGAAUGAGUGGAUUUUAAUAAAACACACUGAAUUAAAGAUGACUUUGUU
ensembl:lncRNA